rnacentral:rRNA from 1 species
UACGAAGGGGGCUAGCGUUGCUCGGAAUCACUGGGCGUAAAGGGUGCGUAGGCGGGUCUUUAAGUCAGGGGUGAAAUCCUGGAGCUCAACUCCAGAACUGCCUUUGAUACUGAGGAUCUUGAGUUCGGGGAGAGGUGAGUGGAACUGCGAGUGUAGAGGUGAAAUUCGUAGAUAUUCGCAAGAACACCAGUGGCGAAGGCGGCUCACUGGCCCGAUACUGACGCUGAGACACGAAAGCGUGGGUAGCAA